rnacentral:rRNA from 1 species
UGCAGUCGCACGGGACUAUUUGAGUAGCAAUACAAGAAUAGUUUAGUGGCGCACGGGUGAGUAACACGUGAAUUACAUGCCCUGCAGAGGGGGAUAGCCCAGGGAAACUUGGAUUAAUACCCCAUGGUAUCGCAAGAUUAAAGGUGGCCGCAAGGCUGUCGCUGCAGGAUUGGUUCGCGCCCUAUCAGCUUGUUGGUGAGGUAACGGCUCACCAAGGCUACGACGGGUACCUGGUCUGAGAGGACGAUCAGGCACACUGGAACUGAGACACGGUCCAGACACCUACGGGUGGCAGCAGUCGAGAAUAAUUCACAAUGGGGGCAACCCUGAUGGUGCAACGCCGCGUGGAGGAUGAAGGUCUUCGGAUUGUAAACUCCUGUCAUCCGGGAGUAAAACCUGGCGAUGAAUAGUCGACAGGGUUGAUAGUACCGGAAGAGGAAGGGACGGCUAACUUCGUGCCAGCAGCCGCGGUAAUACGAAGGUCCCGAGCGUUGUUCGGAAUCACUGGGCGUAAAGGGAGCGUAGGCGGCGUGGUAAGUCAGAUGUGAAAUCCCGGGGCUCAACCCCGGAACUGCAUCCGAUACUGCCGUGCUAGAGGAUUGGAGAGGUAGCUGGAAUUCACGGUGUAGCAGUGAAAUGCGUAGAUAUCGUGAGGAACACUCGUGGCGAAAGCGAGCUACUGGACAACUCCUGACGCUGAGGCUCGAAGGCCAGGGUAGCGAAAGGGAUUAGAUACCCCUGUAGUCCUGGCAGUAAACGGUGCACGCUUGGUGUGAGGGGAAUCGACCCCCCUUGUGCCGGAGCAAACGCGUUAAGCGUGCCGCCUGGGAAGUACGGUCGCAAGACUAAAACUCAAAGAAAUUGACGGGGACCCGCACAAGCGGUGGAGUAUGUGGCUUAAUUCGAUGC